rnacentral:rRNA from 1 species
GAUGAACGCUGGCGGCGUGCCUAAUACAUCCAAGUCGAGCGAACGGACGCGAAGCUUGCUUUUCUGAUGUUAGCGGCGGCCGGGUGAGUAACACGUGGAUAACCUACCUAUAACACGGGGAUAACUUCGUGAAACCGGAGCUAAUACCGGAUAAUAUUUUGCACAGCAUGGUUCAAAAGUGAAAGACGGUCUUGCUGUCACGUAUAGAGGGAUCCGGGCUGCAUUAGCUAGUUGGUAAGGGCACGGCCUACCAAGGCAACGAUGAAUAGCCGACCUGAGAGGGUGCUCGGCCACACUGGAACUGAGACACGGUCCAGACUCCUACGGGAGGCCGCAGUAGGGAAUCUUCCGCAAUGGGCGAAAGCCUGACGGAGCAACGCCGCGUGAGUUAUGAAGGUCUUCGGAUCGUAAGACUCUGUUAUUAGGGAAGAACAUAUGUGUAAGUAACUGUGCACAUCUUGACGGUACCUAAUCAGAAAGCCACGGCUAACUACGUG